rnacentral:rRNA from 1 species
GACGAACGCUGGCGGCGUGCUUAACACAUGCAAGUCGAACGAUGAAGCCCAGCUUGUGUGGUGGGCUCGAGUGGAACGCGUGAGAAAAACACGAGUAUACCACCCCUAACACUGUGGUAUACCUGGAAAAAACGGUGUAUUAUCGGAUACAACCGAUCCCGCUGCGGGGUGGGGGUGGGAAGCGUUAGGCGGUUGUGGAUGGACUCGCGGCGUAUCAGCUUGUUGGUGGGGUAGUGGCUUACCAAGGCGGCGACGGGUAGCCGGCCUGAGAGGGUGACCGGCCACACUGGGACUGAGACACGGCCCAGACUCCUACGGGAGGCAGCAGUGGGGAAUAUUGCACAAUGGGCGGAAGCCUGAUGCAGCGACGCCGCGUGCGGGAUGACGGCCUUCGGGUUGUAAACCUCUGUUGGCUGGGAAGAAGAGAGAUUGACGGUACCUGCUGAGGAAGCGCCGGCUAACUACGUG